rnacentral:lncRNA from 1 species
CGGCCUAUCCACAAAAUUACAAUAUUCAUCAGAAUGACAUUGUGGCAUUGCCACCAAACACGUACAAUCAAAAGAUUCCUGAACAAAACUCGAGCUUCAAAAGUCUGCUACCACCGUCCAGCUGUCCACAUACGAGCUAUCGGUUCUCACUCUACAUAGAAGGGAAAAAGAGAGGUAUGAGCUAAAAGCCCAAUAAGUAAAUCAGUAUUCUUGCCUAAAUGCACACAUAAAGGAUAAUAGGCCCACAAAUUAUUACAUGUCAUGCGGUGUCAAAGAACAAGGGCAUGCAUCAGAGUAUACUGGCGGAAUAAACAAAGUAAAGUUCAUGUAUUAAAAUUCACUCAUUUACAUGAGCUAAUAGUUCCAUGAACAUUUCUCAAAAUCACAUAGUCAGACAGCUAAAGUAUAUAGUUCAUAUGGAUAGAAACUAGUAGUGCCUACUCCUGAAGUAGAAGCCCCAUCGAUCAAACUAAGCCAGUCUUGUAACUUGGGACUUCUACCCUCAUUCAAGAGGGAGGACAAUGACAAAUGGAGGUCAAUUUCGUAAUGUCCUUACUCACACACACAAUCCCCAGCGUGCUUUGGGGAGUUCUGAUAGGCUGAGGCCUUGCAAGACAUGACCCUCUCCAUGCACCUUCAGGCGAGAGGGCGUUGCACCACCAUUGGAGGACCCAAUGCAUAGUGCCUAUAACAAAUUGAAGAGCGCGACCCACUCCUAUCAUUGGAGUCUAGGCAAAGUCAGAACUUGUCGGCAUUACAGUAUCCACUACCAAUGGAAGACCCACUAUGUAGUGGUCAGAAUUCACAUGUAUCAAUUCCAUAUAACAGAAUCACAGUAUCUACUACCAAUGGAGGAUCCAUUGCGUAGUGGCUAGAAAUCACAUUUAUCAGUUUCAUAUAACAAAAUCACAAUAUCCACUACCAAUGGAGGACCCAUUGCGUAGUGGCCAGAAAUCACAUAUAUCAGUUUCAUAUAACAGAAUAAUAAUAUCCACUACCAAUGGAGGACCCAUUGCGUAGUUACUAGAAAUCACAUAUAUCAGUUUCAUAUAACAGAGAAUUUCAAUCACCUUGCAAAAGGAUUAAGCUAUGUUUGAAACAUCAAUGCAUGACAUGUGCAUAAUUCAUAUACAACUUAAAAUUCAUUGUUGUUCUUAUCAAUCAUGGGUAUAUAUAGAAUGAGGCAUAGCACCUAAAAUAUGAGGGGAAAUUUUAACUAAAUUCAUAUUCCAAUUCGCUAACUCAGUAUUACUUGAUCAAUUAAGGGUUUAGUAUAUCGCUCUGAAUCUUGUUGAAUUCUGUCAAUAGUGACAUAUGUUCAUAAUUCAAAUCAUAGCUUUCAACUAAGCAGAAAUUUCGAAACAAUUUUAACAUACAACUUUUAGCAGACAUUCGAAGCUCUCAAAUGGCUGUGGUUUCUGAGUAAUUGGACUCCAUUUGGUCGGCCAAAAUUCAUGGCAACAAAGGCUAAAAUUCUGAGUUUCUGUGAGAUCUAUUAACAGUGACAUACUGGAACAUUUUUUAGCAUAGCUCCUUAUUUACACAGAAUUUGAGCAAGGUUAAAACAUGAAAAUCAUAAGACUCAUGCAUCUAUCAAAUGGCUAUGUUUUUGUGUUAUUCGGACUUCAAUAGUUCAUGCAAAGUUUUAAUAUAGUAGAAACAAUAUUUCUGGAAAUUAUCACAGUUUGCUAACAGUAGCAUAUGAACAUAAAAUGAAACACAUCUUCCAAACUAUCAAGAAUCUUAAAACAUCAAACUCAAAGUUGUCUCAGAGAUAUUUUCAAUGGUGGUAAUUUGAGGCAAUUCUGAGAUCAUUUGAUACAUCAACAAAGAGUCACAAAAAUCUCAAUUCUCCUUGAAAGUCCACAGUCCAACCAUGACACACUUCCAUCUCCUAACUCUUAGUCUAUACAAGGUAACAACAUGAAGUCAAUUCUAGCUUAAACUAGACUCACUAGAGUAUCGACCCACAAAAUUUUAGGGCCAUCAAAGGGAUUUCAGUACUCAUUUUCAUCAUGCAAAAGAAGGCAAACUUUCUUAAGAAUACAAUCAUCAUUUUUGCACAUGCUUAUGUUCAAACUAUGCUCAAACCGUGCUUCAUUCAUGUUUUCAUGCUCAUGGGUCUGCAAGGCAGUGAUCUACUUACCUUUGUGUCCCAAUGGUGAUCCUAAUCUCCUUCCACAGUACACUUCACGAAGCUUUUCAAGCUCUUCAAUAAUGGCACUAAAGGGCUGAACAUGGG